rnacentral:sRNA from 1 species
UACGUUGUGGAUGUCUAGGGGUUCCAG